rnacentral:rRNA from 1 species
GAUGAACGCUGGCGGCGUGCCUAAUACAUGCAAGUCGAGCGAACAGACGAGGAGCUUGCUCCUCUGACGUUAGCGGCGGACGGGUGAGUAACACGUGGAUAACCUACCUAUAAGACGGGGAUAACUUCGGGAAACCGGAGCUAAUACCGGAUAAUAUAUUGAACCGCAUGGUUCAAUAGUGAAAGACGGUUUUGCUGUCACUUAUAGAGGGAUCCGCGCCGCAUUAGCUAGUUGGUAAGGUAACGGCUUACCAAGGCAACGAUGCGUAGCCGACCUGAGAGGGUGAUCGGCCACACUGGAACUGGGACACGGUCCAGGCUCCUACGGGAGGCAGCAGUAGGGAAUCUUCCGCAAUGGGCGAAAGCUUGACGGAGCAACGCCGCGUGAGUGAUGAAGGUCUUCGGAUCGUAAAACUCUGUUAUUAGGGAAGAACAAAUGUGUAAGUAACUAUGCACGUCUUGACGGUACCUAAUCAGAAAGCCACGGCUAACUACGUG